rnacentral:lncRNA from 1 species
GGUACGCUCCUCAGUAAUUAGGUGCCUCUCCAAGUGCUUCCGGACCACGGGGUUUAAGCCCUCAAGGAAGCGUUCGGCGACUUGGUGUUUACUGACUCUGCCGUCUAGCUUCUUCUCAAGCGCUAUCAGCAUAUCCUUAAGGACUAUCGGAGAAAGAGCUCCCUGCUGGAUGCUUUUGAAGCGCGCUAGAUCACUUUCCGCGCGCGCGGAGGCAAAGUUUUCCUCUAAAAUGUGGGCGUAGUAGUCGUAUAGUUGGCGAGGAGAGAUGGCGUUGGCCGCCGCACCUGGUUCAGCUACUCUGAAGUGUGCUGCAGCUCUGGCUAUGAGGUCAGGUCUGUGGGAGUUGUACCACGCCUCGAAUGGCGUGUUACGACCAGGCAGUGCGUCAAGGUACGAUUUGAGGCUCUCAACAGACAAGUUGUUCCUAGUGAGAGGGUAGGCAACCCCUUGCUGGAAAACCUUAGUGAGGAAGUCAUCCAACCCGUUGUGCUGG